rnacentral:rRNA from 1 species
AGGACGAACGCUGGCGGCGUGCUUAACACAUGCAAGUCGAGCGAAGCUCCUGCCUUCGGGUGGGAUGACUUAGCGGCGAACGGGUGAGUAACACGUGGGCAACCUGCCCUUAGCUCUGGGAUAAGCGAUGGAAACGUCGUCUAAUACUGGAUAUGACACUGGGACGCAUGUUCUUGGUGUGAAGAUUUUUUUGGCUAAGGAUGGGCCCGCGGCCUAUCAGCUUGUUGGUGGGGUAAUGGCCUACCGAAGGCGGCGAC